AUUGAACGCUGGCGGCACGCCUAACACAUGCAAGUCGAGCGGCAGCGAGACUAGUAGCAAUACUAGUUGUCGGCGAGCGGCGGACGGGUGAGUAACACGUAGGAAUCUGCCCUUAAGCGGGGGAUAACCAAGGGAAACUUUGGCUAAUACCGCAUAAUCUCGAGAGAGCAAAGCUGCCCGCAAGGGUGGCACUUGAGGAGGAGCCUGCGUCCGAUUAGCUAGUUGGUGGGGUAAUGGCCUACCAAGGCGAUGAUCGGUAACUGGUCUGAGAGGACGACCAGUCACACGGGGACUGAGACACGGCCCAGACUCCUACGGGAGGCAGCAGUGGGGAAUAUUGGACAAUGGGGGCAACCCUGAUCCAGCGAUGCCGCGUGAGUGAAGAAGGCCUUCGGGUCGUAAAGCUCUUUAGGUUGGGAAGAAGUGUAUUGGCUGAAUAAUCCAGUACAUUGACGGUACCGACAGAAUAAGCACCGGCAAACUCUGUGCCAGCAGCCGCGGUAAGAC
rnacentral:rRNA from 1 species